rfam:Lysinibacillus massiliensis 4400831 = CIP 108448 = CCTG 49529 contig4, whole genome shotgun sequence.
AACCGCCGUAUACGGAACCGUACGUACGGUGGUGUGAGAGGUCGACUACUCAAAUAAUGAAUAGUCACCUACUCGAU